rnacentral:rRNA from 1 species
UACGAAGGGUGCAAGCGUUAAUCGGAAUUACUGGGCGUAAAGCGUGCGUAGGCGGUUUGUUAAGUCUGAUGUGAAAGCCCUGGGCUCAACCUGGGAACUGCAUUGGAUACUGGCAAGCUAGAGUACGGUAGAGGAAGGUGGAAUUCCCGGUGUAGCGGUGAAAUGCGUAGAUAUCGGGAGGAACAUCAGUGGCGAAGGCGACCGCCUGGCCCAACACUGACGCUGAGGUGCGAAAGCGUGGGUAGCAAACAGGAUUAGAAACCCCGU